CAGAGCCAGUUAUCUGAAAUUUCUUAAUGCAUUUUAAGUUUAUUUUAUACUCUAUGAAAAAACAAAGAAAAACAAAACAAAUGGUUUUAUGGAGAAGAAGUCAAUUAUAUUGAUUUUCAUCUGUUAAUGCAAAAGUAGAUUUUAUGAAUGAUUGUACUUAGGAAACUUAUGUUUAUUGGUCACAGUUUAAUUUACUCCUUGUUUUUGUUCUCUUUCAUGAAUCAGGAAGACUUAAAGAGUAAAAUAUCAGAGUGUCAGCUGAAAGUGGUUAAUAUGCUGCUUCUUUGAGGAUUGAUAUGAAACUGAGGUGCAGGUUCACCAAAGUUUACAAUGCUUGGAAUAAAGUGGAUCAGGUUUUAUGUGAUGAUGGAACAUCUUAUAAUUGAUGAGAAAACUUCAUAUUGCCACUCAAAUUAGGGGUGAAGCAGGGCAGGAUGCUGUCCUGUAUAGAAAGGAGAGGGCUGUGUGGCUUGGCUGCAGUUCUUCUCUCGGGUGCCAGGUUUGUAAUUCCACCACAUAAUAUUCUGGCAGGCCUGCUUGAUUCUGAAGGAAACUUUACAGCAUACAGAAGAAUACAUCCUGGUAUCACAAGAAGCUCUAUUCUAGCAGUGGAUGAAAGAACAUCUUCCAAUGAGUAUGAGUUCUUGCAGAUCUUAUGUGGAAGUCCGUGACUUCUAACCUUCUGAGCACGCACACAAAAGUGGCUACCAGUUAAAAUCGAGGCUGAGGAGUGCUCUAGCUCACCAAUAAUGGCACUAAAAGGCUUUGAUUGAUAUGAUGUGGACGUUGUUACGCUAUUCUGACAUUGCUAUCAUUGCUGUACAUACACUGUAAACAAUCCUGAUACUAAAUGAGGUCCUCAUUGGAUGGUAUCUUGUUCCACAGAUGGCCCUCAGAGGAACCCUGUAUUUAUAAUAUCUUUGCUAAUGCACUAGCAGAAAUUAGGUUUAAAAUACAGUCUUUAUAACAGGCAAAGUAAGACGUCAGAGAAUAGUUAUUUUAAAUCCCUCAGAACAGAUUCUGAUUUCAGUUACACAGAUAUGAACAUGCCUGUGGGUACCUUAGAUUCUCAUGCAUUUGAAGAAGAACAGAAUUUGGCUUCAUGCACAUCGAUUCUCACUCACUAAAAUUAAUCAGUUUUAGCGUUUGCAAUCUAUAUUAGUAAAAGCUUUAGUCUAACAUUUCCGUAGGCAUCAGUGAUUCCCAAUGAUUAUAACCUUCCAAACACUUUUGACCAGAAAGGAGGUUUGCUGGUUCUCCUUUUAUUUUGGCCUGGCUAUACAACUCUUAGUACUUCAUAUACCUAUUAAAACUCUUGUAUCAGAUUUCCAUUGUGGAGAGGUCCAUUUGGUGGGAAAUAAGAACUGUCAACUCUUUAAUAACCACUGCUGAGAAAAUAGUUAAGAAUUUUUUUUGUUCUUGCAUCUAUCUCAUAUCUAUUUUAUGAAAGGAGUCUAAUGUGGUACAGUUAGCUGAUGUGGUACUCAACAUAGAGUUAUUUUCUUUGUAUUUUAGGUGUGUCUUUGCUAUUAUUGUCUUCCUUUUACACAGUUGCAAAUUUUAAAUAUACAAGAAUUCUUAGAGGAGAGGGAAGACUGGGAUUGUUUCCUAAACCAAGGCAGAAGAAAUUCAAGUAGGGCAAAAUACAGGUGUCAACAUCAAGCAUAUAGGAAGUCUUCUUAUUUGAGUCUUCAGUUUUCCGACUGUGAUCAUAGGAAUUACUAGUCUAUAUGGCCUAGCAAUUUGCCUCACUUUACCUAGCAUAAUGUUUUUCUGAAGAUGGCCUUUUAAAUAACAUAUUUAUAGCCAUAUAAGUAUGUUAGGUACAGAUAUGGCUAAUGUUCUUUUAUUAAUGUGGUAGCAACAAUAUGAAAUGUAUAUCUGUUUUACUGAAAAUAAGAUUGAAAAACCUUUCCAAUGCAUGAAUGAAAAGCAUAUACAGGACAGGCUGUCUGUAUUAACAGUGGCCUGGGAAGCUAUUUUAUCCCUUUUUACUCUAAUGUACCAGCUGUUUCAUCGGUGCAGUAUGGGGAGAAGAUAACUGUACUAUAUUACUACAGUAUUAUGUAAUACAAUAUAGGGUUAAGUCACUAAAUUCCACUUCAUCAGCAGUAGAUAACUUUCCCUUUUGUAAGGCGACAGUGGCAUUCCCAUACUUUACCAGAAAGUUAGCAUGUUUUUUGCUUGUCUUUUAGCAAAAAAUAUUUUGGUAAACAAAUUUAUAAAUGAAUUAUACUGUAAAAGGUACUGAAGUCUAUAUAGUUGAUAUACUCAGUGACUCAGAAUAAAUAAAAGCAUAUAAAACCA
rnacentral:lncRNA from 1 species